rnacentral:rRNA from 1 species
AACGAACGCUGGCGGCAGGCCUAACACAUGCAAGUCGAACGCCCCGCAAGGGGAGUGGCAGACGGGUGAGUAACGCGUGGGAACCUUCCCAGUGGUACGGAAUAACUGACCGAAAGGUUGGCUAAUACCGUAUACGCCCGAAAGGGGAAAGAUUUAUCGCCAUUGGAUGGGCCCGCGUCGGCUUAGCUGGUUGGUGAGGUAAUGGCUCGCCAAGGCGAAGAUCCGGAGCUGGUCUGAGAGGAUGAUCAGCCACACUGGGACUGGGACACGGCCCAGACUCCUACGGGAUGCAGCAGUGGGGAAUAUUGGACAAUGGGCGCAAGCCUGAUCCAGCCAUGCCGCGUGAGUGAUGAAGGUCUUCGGAUUGUAAAACUCUUUCGCCGGGGAAGAUAAUGACGGUACCCGGAGAAGAAGCUCCGGCUAACUUCGUGCCAGCCGCCGCCGUAA